rnacentral:tRNA from 1 species
GGGGGUGUGGUCUAGUGGUAUGAUUCUCCCUUCGGGUGCCUAAACCCAGCGCUGACGUGCGCUCCGUUGAACGUGGGAGAGGCCCCGCGUUCGAUUCGCGGCACCCCCC